rnacentral:rRNA from 1 species
AACGAACGCUGGCGGCAUGCCUAACACAUGCAAGUCGAACGAUUGCCUUCGGGUGAUAGUGGCGCACGGGUGCGUAACGCGUGGGAAUCUGCCCUUAGGUUCGGAAUAACAGCUGGAAACGGCUGCUAAUACCGGAUGAUAUCGCGAGAUCAAAGAUUUAUCGCCUGAGGAUGAGCCCGCGUUGGAUUAGGUAGUUGGUGGGGUAAAGGCCUACCAAGCCAACGAUCCAUAGCUGGUCUGAGAGGAUGAUCAGCCACACUGGGACUGAGACACGGCCCAGACUCCUACGGGAGGCAGCAGUGGGGAAUAUUGGACAAUGGGCGCAAGCCUGAUCCAGCAAUGCCGCGUGAGUGAUGAAGGCCCUAGGGUUGUAAAGCUCUUUUACCCGGGAAGAUAAUGACUGUACCGGGAGAAUAAGCCCCGGCUAACUCCGUG